GGCUUGGUUCAAGGUGCAGUGUGGUGUUUCACACCAACUGAUCAAGCAUUACAGAUUUCUUUGUUCCUUUUCUACUCCCACUGCUUCACUUGACUAGCCAUAU
rnacentral:Y_RNA from 1 species